rnacentral:lncRNA from 1 species
GCUAGAGUUUGGACUCUGGAACCUGCCUUAGCGUCUCGGCUCCGCAGUUUACCAGCCGUGUGACCUGGGGAAAGUCCAACCUCUCUGUGCCUCAGUUGCUCAUCUGUAGUUACUUCCUCCAGGAGUUGUUGUAAAGAUUAAAUGAACAAUGACACAGGUAAGCACCUCCGGGCAGCAAGAAUUUCCUGUCCCCUUCAGGGUCCUUCUAGAUAAAGAAUCAAAUUGACACGAGGGGCGCCUGGGUGGCUCAGUCCGUUUAGCACCGAACUCUGGAUUUCAGCCCCGGUCAUGAUCUCACGGUUCCUGAGUUCGAGCUCCUUGCCCCCCCCCCCGCCCCCCAGUGCAGCUCGGGCUGACUUUGUACAGCCUGCUUGGGAUUCUCUGCCCCUUCCCUGCUCGUGCUUGCUCUCUGUCUCUCUCUCUCACUCUCUGUCAGAAAGAAAUAAGUAUACUUAAAAGAAUCAAAUUGACAUAAGACAGAUUAAUAGAAGAUCAAAUUUAAUUUUGUACACACAGGGAACCACACACACGUGGAAAUUCCAAAGACAGGCAAAACAAGGGAUAUAUGUCAUCCUGAACUCAGAAGGGGGUAGGGUCUGGGACUUGAAAGGAAAGGAAUGCAGCUCACCGGGCAGUAAGAGCAGAUGUUUGGUAAUUAGAUGUUUGUCCUGCCAGACAGAUGCGUCACUCAGAUAAAAUUUAUCUCUGGUAAUAGCCCUUUAUUCAGGAAAAGACCCUCAAUUUAAAUUCUUUUGUGUCGUUAAGGGAGGGGCAAACGUUUCUUUUGAGCUCACGGGGUCUCGAUUGCCUCAGCUCCAAAGAGUUGGCCUGCCGAAGUGGUCCAUCUUGGGACCGCCUGUCCAUGGCCCCUGAAGGCACUGUGUGUGCUACGAUUAGGUCUUACUUUGCAGAAGGGGAAACCGAGACGGGGAGGUUGACCUGCUCUAGGUCACAGCUGCUGGAGGCAGGCGGGAUUCAAAUCUAGGUCAGUCUUCUGCCACCUAGUAGCUACACUACACGUCCGCUAUGACUGCAGGGUGUACCUCAAAUAGGGACAUUUUCAGUGGUUUUGUAAGCUUCAGAGGGCAAGGAAUGGAGGGUAAGAGUGAUUUGGCCAGAACCCAAGAAGAAUUUUCUUUUUUUGUUUUUAAGAAGAAUUUUCUUAAGUUAAAAAGAAUUCCCAAUUUCUCCCUGUCUCUCUUUUUAAAAAGCCACAUUGAUAAUAACAGUGAAAAGGAAAGGGGCGGUCAGCAGUCUCUUAGGGUAAAACAUCCCAGGUACACAGUUGCUUUUAGGCUCAUUCAGUUCUUUUUUUCUUCUUUUUACUUCUUAAAAAACUUUUUUUAGUGUUUAUUUUUGAGAGAGAGAGGGGAGACACAAUCCGAAGCAGGCUCCGAGCUGUCAGCACAGAGCCCAACGCGGGGCUUGAAUCCAUGAACUGUGAGAUCAUGACCUGAGCUAAAGUCGCAUGCUUAACUGACUGAGCUACCCAGGGACCCCUCUUUUUUAUUUUUGAGAGAGAGAAAGAGCAUGAGUAGGAGAGGAGCAGAGAGAGAGAGAGAGAGACACACACACACACACACAGAAUCCGAAGCAGGCUCCAGGCCCUGAGCUGUCAGCACAGAGCCCGAUGCAGGGCUCGAACCCACAAACUGUGAGAUCACACCCUGAGCCCAAAUCAGAUGCUUAACUGACUGAGCCUCCCAGGCGCCCUUCAUACAGUUAUUUUCUACGAGUUACUGACACACAGGACAAUAAAGAAACCUUUCCUAAAAGGCAUCUAAAUAUAUAUAAUAUUUUAAGUAGGCCUCACGCCCAGUGCCCAGCAUGUGAACCCACUGCGGGACUUAAACGCACAAUCCUGAGAUCCAGACCUGAGCUGACGUGGAGUUAGUCGCCUAACUGACUGAGCCACCCAGGUGCCUCUGGUUUUCAUUUUGUUUAAUGUUUUAUUUACUUUUGAAAGCGAGAGAGAGCCCAAGCUGGGGAGGGGCAGAGAGAGAGGGCCGGCAGCAGGCUCCAGGCUCCGAGCUGUCAGCACAGAGCCCGACGCGGGGCUCGAACCGACGAGCCGUGAGAUCACGACCCGAGCCGAAGUCGGACGCUUAACCGACUGAGCCACCCAGGCGCUCCUGUUUUUCAUUUUGUUUUUUUUUUUUUUAAUUUUUUUUUUCAACGUUUAUUUAUUUUUGGGACAGAGAGAGACAGAGCAUGAACGGGGGAGGGGCAGAGAGAGAGGGAGACACAGAAUCGGAAACAGGCUCCAGGCUCCAAGCCAUCAGCCCAGAGCCCGACGCGGGGCUCGAACUCCCGGACCGCGAGAUCGUGACCUGGCUGAAGUCGGACGCUUAACCGACUGCGCCACCCAGGCGCCCCUUCAUUUUGUUUUAAGGCAGCUUGCGUGAGCGUCACACGUGCACCCAUCCUGACGACAGGGUACAUACAUGCUCUUGUCUCCAGUGCUGCUGUUCUUUUUGUCCCCAGCACGAAUAAGAUGCUCCAGUGAGCCAGAGGCAGGAACAAGUGUUUCACUUUUCAUAGCUGGGAGCUGGGAGAAAUCACCAGCCGACGAUUUAUUUUAACCCAGAAAGUAAAAAAGUAUAUGUUUCUUUUUACUGCAGGUGCGCUAAACGGUAACAUGACAAACAGGAAUAUGUAUUGCCUGUCCUUCUGUCUUUUCGCGAUAGGGUGCUAACACAAUGAGGUGUGUUCUUUUUACUCUGCCACGGCCCAUUCAUUCGCUAGGAUUGACAACCUGGUGUGCGUUGAUCUUAACCAUAAAUCAGUUUCUGAUGGUGUCUUGGAUGUGCACUGUGCCUUGUAGACUCAAGCUAACGUUACUGCUUCUGUUGCACCCUCAUUGAAACGUCUGUGAAGAAGCACUAGCAGGUUAAGGAUCCCCAACUUUGGAAAAGGAACGUGAUGUGAAACUAGAAUUCUCUGUUAAAAAGGUAUGGUUACUUUUUAAAGAGGAGGCGGGACUCAGUCGGCGAAGCGUGCGACUCCUGAUCUCGUGGUUGCAAGUUCGAGCCCCACGUUGGGUGUAGAGAUUACUUUAAAAUAAAAAUAAAAAUCGGGGCGCGUGAGGGGCUCAGUCGGUUAAGCCUCUGACUUGGGCCCAGGUCAUGAUCUUACGGUUCUUCGUGAGUUCGAGCCCCGCAUAGGGCUCUGUGCUGACAGUUUAGAGCCUGGAGCCUCCUUGGGGUUGUUAUUAGCAAAAGAAAAGAAAGGAUUGCUGUAGGCCAGGACAUCUGCUUUGGAGGGGUGGGCAGUGCCGGUGUUUAUCAUGCAGGUUACAUGACCAGUGCUGAGGGAAACAUUUCAGGUUGACUGUUAGAAAGUCACAUUCCUGGGAGAGGUGGAAACUAAAUCUCGGCUUGCUGUCCUCGGUGGGGGGCAAGUGACUCCAGUUUGGGCUUUUUUUUAAAACAAUAAAUUACUUUAGUUGACUUGCUGAUGUUUCUCAGAUUAUAGUGUACCUUGCUAUGAUUUUUAAAAUUUUUUUUAAUGUUUAUUUAUUUGAGAGAGAGAGAGAGAGAGAGAGAGAGAGAGAGAGAGAGAGAAUAUGAGCGGGGGACGGGCAGAGAGAAAGGGACCCACGGAAUCCGAAGCAGGCUUCAGGCUCUGAGCUAUCAGCACAGAGCCUGACGUGGGACGCGAACUCACCAACCACGAGAUCAUGACCUGAGCCGAAGUCGGACGCUCAACCGACCGAGCCACCCAGGCACCCCUAUCUUGCUCUGAUUAUACCAAAGUUAGUUGAUGCCUGCUCUCUUAAUUUGUCUUCUGUUCUUUAGCCUUGUGGAAUUUUGCAAAUUACAGAAGUAGUACAUGCCUGUCAGAAGCUGGGACAAACAGUACAGAAGUGUAUUAAAGAGAGUUAGGCGCCCCCUGCACAUGCUUCGAGGCGCUCAGGGGUAAGAGCUUGGCAGGCAUCUGUGCACCUUUCCUUGCAUUUUUUUUUUUUUUCACGCUCAGAUACUCCUUUAUGUGGGUUUCCCCCUCCCUUUGUUCCCUCCUUCUGUUAAAAAUGGAGUCACUUACGUUAAACCCCACCAAAACUUAGUACCCAGGCUAAUUGCAGCUUCCCAGCUUCUCCCAGAAAUGUGGUCCUUAACCAACCUGGGACUUUUCUGCUGGACCCUCCCAUUCCCCUUAGGGGGGUGACCUUGCCUAAAACAAUGCAUUCUUUGCUAAGAAUACCGGCCCACCCACCCCCACCUUUGAAACCCUCGGCUGCAGCUCAGUGGAGCUCCUUACUAUCUGCUAGAUGGAGUGCUGGCAAUUUGAUCUUUACAUUUACUCCGUUGAAUUUUUUUCUUUUCUUUUUUCUUUUUUUCUCGUUUUUAAGUAUUUAUUAUCGAGAGACAGAGCACGAGCAGGGGAGGGGCAGAGAGAGAGGAGAGAGCGAGAAUCCCAAGCCGGCUCCUCACCGCCAGCACAGAGCCGGACACGGGGUUCAAACUCAUGAACUGGGAGAUCAUGACCUGAGCCACCCAGGCGCCCCAUGCCAGCCUUUCUUUUAAACAAAAGCGAGAUAAUUCCUCUGGAGAGACAUCCAAAAAGCUAUUCAACAGGUUCCCUCAAGGAAGGGAAACGUGAAACUUGGGAACAGAGGUGCAAGGGAGAUUGAGUUUUGACUGUGCCCUUUUGUGUUGUAGGGGCCAAGGCCGACUGCCCCCAAGAUGUGCCACUUUGGUCACGCAGAUCAUGCCGAGCUGAAAACAAUCCAGGCCCAGAAGACGCAGGGAGAAAUUUUGACCUUGCCCCCAAAACUGCCUCAAAGAAAUGAGAUUGGGGACGUGCUCCGGGAAGGGAGCCAUUGCCAUACUUACCUACAUUAUAAUGUGAAGUAGGUAUGGUGGAGAGCGAGGAAUUCAGCAAAGUUCGGUUGAUCAAAAUCUUCCCUGUGUCCCAUUGUUUCUGGAUGACCCAGUCAACAUUUAUUUACCACGUUCGCUCUUUUUCAUUCUUCCUGUGAGCAUUCCUUCCCUUUGUAGUCUCAGACUCCUUCCUCCUCCUUAGUUCAGGGUGACUUCGCACUGCCUGGCUGUCUUUGGAAUCUUACGCGUGUGUGGAUUCCCUAUGCCCCUGAAAUUAAAUUUGAUUUUCUC